rnacentral:rRNA from 1 species
GACGAACGCAGGCGGCGUGCCUAAUAUAUGCAAGUCGAACGAACCGCGACUAAGUGCUUGCACUAAGUCAAGGUGAGUGGCGAACGGGUGAGUAACACGUGGGUAACCUACCUCAUAGUGGGGGAUAACAGUCGGAAACGACUGCUAAUACCGCAUAGGACAUAGGAUCACAUGAUCCAGUGAGGAAAGGUGGCGCAAGCUAUCGCUAAGAGAUGGACCCGCGGUGCAUUAGCUAGUUGGUAGGGUAAAGGCCUACCAAGGCGAUGAUGCAUAGCCGACCUGAGGGGGUGAUCGGCCACAUUGGGAUGAGACACGGCCCAAACUCCUACGGGAGGCAGCAGUAGGGAAUCUUCCGCAAUGGACGCAAGUCUGACGGAGCA